CGCGUAGGUGGUUAGGUAAGCGAGAUGUGAAAGCCCCGGGCUUAACCUGGGAACGGCAUUUCGAACUGUCUGACUAGAGUAUGGUAGAGGGUAGUGGAAUUUCCUGUGUAGCGGUGAAAUGCGUAGAUAUAGGAAGGAACACCAGUGGCGAAGGCGGCUACCUGAACCAAUACUGACACUGAGGUGCGAAAGCGUGGGGAGCAAACA
rnacentral:rRNA from 1 species